GCAGGCAUCUUCUCAGCCUAC
rnacentral:miRNA from 1 species